UUGAUGGAGAGUUUGAUCCUGGCUCAGGACGAACGCUGGCGGCGUGCUUAACACAUGCAAGUCGAGCGAAGCACUUUGAGUAGCUUGCUACUCAAUUUGACUGAGCGGCGAACGGGUGAGUAACACGUGGGUG
rnacentral:rRNA from 1 species